GAGUUUGAUCAUGGCUCAGGAUGAACGCUGGCGGCGUGCUUAACACAUGCAAGUCGAACGCUACGACUAUUAACAGAACCUUUCGGGGCGAAGAUGAUAGAAGUUAGUGGCGGACGGGUGCGUAACGCGUGGGUAAUCUGCCUUUGUCAAAGGAAUAACUAUUCGAAAGAAUAGCUAAAACCGUAUAAAAUAUUAAUAGGGCAUCCUAAUAAUAUCAAAACGAUAGUGGACAAAGAUGAGCCCGCGUCUGAUUAGCUAGUUGGUGAGAUAAAAGCCCACCAAGGCAACGAUCAGUAGCCGACCUGAGAGGGUGAACGGCCACAUUGGAACUGAGACACGGUCCAAACUCCUACGGGAGGCAGCAGUGGGGAAUAUUGCACAAUGGGGGGAACCCUGAUGCAGCAACGCCGCGUGAGUGAAGAAGGCAUUCGUGUCGUAAAACUCUGUA
rnacentral:rRNA from 1 species